rnacentral:rRNA from 1 species
GUUACAAGGUUUCCGUAGGUGAACCUGCGGAAGGAUCAUUAUUGAAUAAACCUGAUGGGUUGUUGCUGGCUUCUCCGGAAGUAUGUGCACACCUGUCAUCUUUAUCCAUCCACCUGUGCACCCUUUGUAGUCUUGGAGAUAAUGAGCGCAAAGCGUCUUGGGGAUCACACUCCUUGAUGUUAGUGCAAGUUUCUCUUGGUCUAUGUCUUUCAUAUACCACGUCGAAUGUAAUAGAAAGUUUUUAUUGGGCCUCAGUGCCUAUAAAACACAAUACAACUUUCAGCAACGGAUCUCUUGGCUCUCGCAUCGAUGAAGAACGCAGCGAAAUGCGAUAAGUAAUGUGAAUUGCAGAAUUCAGUGAAUCAUCGAAUCUUUGAACGCACCUUGCGCUCCUUGGUAUUCCGAGGAGCAUGCCUGUUUGAGUGUCAUUUAAUUCUCAAUCCCCACUAGUUUUUUGUGACUGGCUUGGUGGAUUGGAUGUGGGGGUAUUGUUUGCGGGCCUCUUCAGAGGUCGGCUCCCCUAAAAAGCAUUAGCGGAACCGUUUGCGGACCCGUCACUGGUGUGAUAAUUAUCUACGCCAACGACAACUGCUCUCUGGUAGUUCUGCUUCUAACCGUCCUUUUACUUGGACAAUCAUAUAUUUGAAUGCUGACCUCAAAUCAGAGAGACCUCGUUUA